GCCUGGGUGAUGGAACUGGUAGACAUAAGGGACUUAAAAUCCCUUGCUCCUAGUGGGCGUGGGGGUUCGACUCCCCCCCCAGGCACCA
rnacentral:tRNA from 1 species